GAGUUUGAUCCUGGCUCAGAUUGAACGCUGGCGGCAUGCCUUACACAUGCAAGUCGAACGGCAGCAUGAUCUAGCUUGCUAGAUUGAUGGCGAGUGGCGAACGGGUGAGUAAUACAUCGGAACGUGCCCUGUAGUGGGGGAUAACUAGUCGAAAGAUUAGCUAAUACCGCAUACGACCUGAGGGUGAAAGUGGGGGACCGCAAGGCCUCAUGCUAUAGGAGCGGCCGAUGUCUGAUUAGCUAGUUGGUGGGGUAAAGGCCCGACCAAGGCGACGAUCAGUAGCUGGUCUGAGAGGACGAUCAGCCACACUGGGACUGAGACACGGCCCAGACUCCUACGGGAGGCAGCAGUGGGGAAUUUUGGACAAUGGGCGAAAGCCUGAUCCAGCAAUGCCGCGUGUGUGAAGAAGGCCUCGGUUGUAA
rnacentral:rRNA from 1 species